UCGUCUGAGGGUUUGUUCUGAGGCUACAUUUUUGUAUUUUGUCAUGUGUGGCGGUUUUGCUCUGCCCCUUUGGGUGGAGGGAGGCCCUCUCUCCCUUCCCUUUCCAAUCAGUGGGUCUCCCUCCCUACCGAUGGGUAGAGUUGUAAAUAGCUUUUGGUUAGUAAGGAUAGCGAGUGGUUAAUAGUGAGGGACUUUUUAUGCUGCCUUAUGAUGCGAUCCUAUGUUUUUAAUUGCCUGUUUUUGCUUUGUCUGGGUCUUUUCUUUGAUGUUUCUGUUGUAGGUCUUAUGGCACAUGAGAGUUGAUUUUCGUAGAUCUGCUCAACUCGUGAGGAUCAAAGCCUUCAACACUCUCUACAUCAGUGUAUGCUUUGUUUUCUCUAGUCUAGCAUGGAACAAUUGUCUAGUGUGGCAACUUGCAAGAUGUGAUACAAUAGAUUGGCCUGUAAUGUGUGAAUGGGACAUCGAAGAGACCCAUCUUCGAUGUUCUAUGCCAUGAUGCAAAUCUUUGUUAUGAGAUUUUUAUGUUGCCUCUCCUGUUUUAUUGACCUAAAGUAACAUGAGCUUUCUCUGUUUUUGGGCCCUGUAAUUUGUGUUGAAGAACUCCUAACUUUUGAACUUGUGCUGCCUUUUUGAGUAGUUUCUCUUGCCUGGAGCUAUGCUGGAAUGGCCAUUGGCCAUUGUUGUCUAAGUCCUCAACGAUGGGAGAGUCUACAGCCACGACACUGGUUCAAGUUGGUAGCUAAAUUUUUUAUUCGAGUUAUCUUUUGUUGCCCUAGUUCUUAGGUUUUGAGUUCUAAGCCCUUUAAGUUUUAUGUGCUUAAUAGUGUUGGGCUUGGGUUUUUUUAGAACUUAGUUUUUUUAUACAAUUGGCAUUGUCCUUUUAUCUAUAUGUAAUAUUGGGCCUUUUUAAAUAAUUGUAAAUCUUUAGCCUUCUAGGAUAUUUUAAUGGUAAAUAAUCUUUAG
rnacentral:misc_RNA from 1 species